CUGGAUGCUUGUUCUCCUGAUGGAAGACACUAAGAUUUUUUCCUUUUAAUUGUCUAGAGUGGGAGAAGACACUACAAUAUGUUGGAGUUUUCGGCCUAUGUCAGACUUUAUACCGUCGAAUUACUUCUUAUGAGGAUUCAGAAGAUUUGAAACAGGAUGUGAGACAACUUUUGGUCCCAAUGACAUGGGCAGUUGGCAAGUUGGAGACAAACCGUAAUCGUAAUGGACUACCAACUUCACCUUCUUCAACUGACGUUCAAAACAGGGUGUUGCAAGCUGCUGCUAAGCAUCAAUCACAACCAGAUAGCGAAGAGAUUCAAGAUCCGUCCCCUGAAACUAUGCUUUCCGUCAAUGAAAACAUCGAUAUUUCUGAAGCAUAGAAUAUUUAAGUGUUUUGCAGCUAACUGUAAUAGUCCAACUGAAUGACAUUUCAUAUUGCUGGAAUCCAUUUUGUAGAUUCAGGUAAGACACUCAGAUUAUCAACAACACAAAUACCACCAUAAAUACCACCAUAAAAUUUGUAUAGUCAAAACCUUGAGAUUCUUCUUUUUUGUAAUGAAUAAGUAAAAAUUGCAUGCA